GCAGUGGCAGCUGGUGAUGGAGAAGGGGAGCAUCCAGGCUCUGCAGGGAGGUGUUGAGGCUGCUUCUGUGGCUUACAUUCCCUGCUCCACCAGCUCCAGUAAAGGCACAUCUGAGUACACAGAUCUGGGUGAGAGCAUGUGGCAAGUCCUUACGGCCCAGCAGGAGAGCUCUGAGGGGAACAAAGAAAAUGGUCAAGCAAGCCGCAGAAGUUCAUGUAAGGCCACAAUGAAGCCAGGCGGGGCGUUUUACCCCUGCUGACUCAUGAGGGAGUUCAGGGAAGACCCUAUGGCCACAGCACCAUGCACCCCGCUGCCAAGAAGUGUCUGGAGCAAAGCUGAAAGGUUUUAUUCACCGGCACAGGGGCCGUGCCUCCUGCUCUAACACAAACACCAUAAAUCCAGCUCGCAGGAGCCGGGCUCGCUCCCUCUGCAGCCCAGCCUCGUGCUCCAGCGCGCAGCAGCGAUCGCUCCCGGCAGCGCAGACGUCAGCGAGGCGCUCGUGGAGGCAAUGCGAGAGCUCCUGUAAAGCCGGGUACACGAGCCCUUGGAGAGGAGGCAGGUGGAUGUAACGCCACCAGGACUCAUCCAAGGCAACGGGGCUGUCCGGUUUUACACCGACAGUGUGUACAGCCCUCGGUGCUUGAUACCAGAUGGUAUUUUAUAAGCGCUGGAAUUAUUUAGGAGCACGGCUAUUACCCCUGCACUAAUGAAUUACAAAUAACUCCUCCAGGAAAGACCCUUUGCUGACUAAGAAGCAUGUCCCUCAGAUAAACUAACUGUUGAGGUUUAAAGGGUCAGCAGUUUUUUAAAAAUGUUUUAUUCCUAGUAAGUUAAAGGGGCCCUGGAAUAUCCCACUUGCCUCAUUAGCGAAUAUUACCCAAUUUUUCUUUCAUAGUGUAGCAGGGGGGAAGAAAAGCAUAUAAAAUAAACACCUGGCAGGAAUGCAUAAUCUGCAUAAAUUCAAGCAGUUACACUCUUGACAGGAAACCAAACCAAAAUGAGACUUUUGAAGCAGGCAUCGAGGCCUCAGCAAGGAUUAAUUUUCAUGCAGAGAGUGCAUGGCUGGGAUUUUAAAGAGCAGCCUCGCAGAUCCUGGUGCUCGCUUCCCUCUGGGUGCACCAGCUGCCUGGUGCAGCUCCCCCAGCUUUUCCAGCUGCAAGUCACCAGCAAAGCAAGGGCAGCUCCCCCCUCAGCGGGUUGUGGCUCCUGGAGCUGCGUGGCAUUGUCACACCUUAGCUGUAGGUCCCCAGCUGGUGUCACUUCUCCAUCAGCAUCGAGUACUGCAGUGACCAAGUGAGCGCACCUGUACGCUGCAAUAGUUUGCAAGCUGUGGUCGGCUCUGCUAGCUGAGAGUCACAGAAGGACCAAUGCAGGAGGGAUAGGACACUAUUUUAUCCUAUAAGGUUUCUAUCAUUUCCUUCUGCACAGGAACCCUGUAGUUUCCCAGAAAAAAAAAAAAAUGCUUUGCCAAAAUAUUUGUGCAAAUUCACAUCCAACCUCUUCAGAAUAUGGCAUAAUGCAGUGUCUGCCCAUUUCCAAGCUUUGUUUUGUCUGGCAGAUGUUGUGGAUUAGGAGAUAACCCAGAUCAGUGCACCUGAUCCCAUGCUCUGGAUUGAGCAAUGCUUAGUGUCAUCCUAUUUAAUGCCAUGCUGGAGACUGUGCUGAGGGCUUUCUGAGCCCUUUCAGUUCCCUUUCUUGGCAGGAGUGCUCUCUUCAUUUGCAUAUAUUCCCUUACCUUUCCAGCUGAAGGAGGAGGAAAAAGGAGUGGGAGAUAUGGAGGUAGGUGUAUGAGCUAUGGGAGGUGGCAGGAAGGAAAAAAGGUUGAUUUUAAAGGCACGUGUCCAUUAGGCAGGAGAAAAACUGAGGCACAGUCCUAGAGCAGGCUCGGAGGAGUCCUCACCUUACCAGGAGCACUCACAGCUUUUCUCCAGGUUUUCUCCCAUGCUCAAUUACCUGAAAAUUAAGCUCAUUGUAAGAUGCUUCAACAGUAUGAGUGGAGGGGGAAAAUGCAGAGGGAUUGUCUUUAAAAGGGAAAAUAAAAAGAGUAAAUUUUUAAUGCUCAAUUAAUUUUAGGUGCCAAACAACAUAUUUGUAACAGAGCUGGUCUCAUCAGAAUAAUGGAAAAUCCAUGCUCUGAGACAUCAAUUAUUGAUAAGGGUUAACAGGGCCAUAUCCAUUCAGGAUGGCGAGCAGUGUUGUUGCUUUUCCCUGCACAUUUAGUUUUCUGCUUCUCUCACUCCCUCUUUUCACCCUCUAACCCCACUGUAACAAGCAUCCCCUCCCCAGACCCCCAGUUCUGCUGGCAAUUUUACCAUGGGAGAGACUGAUCUAUCCCCCCAAAAAAGGUGCAGUUCAAGGUGUUAGAGUGCAAACCAACACGUUAAUAAUCUAAAAACAUAAAUCCAGCAGCCUGAUGUGUUUGAGCCCAAGUCAGGAGACUGAACUUAAGAUCAUGCAUUGAGGUGGAGUUAUAUGGGCCUGAGAAACCCAAGGCAAAUAGAUUGCUUUUUUAUUAUCAUCAUCUUUUGUCUCCAAACAAGAAAGCUAGAAACCAGUAAGAAAAGAAAAAGGAGUGCUGAGAUUUUGUCACAACUGCAGACUCAGCCUUGAAUUAUAGAAACUCUCAUGGAAAAAUAUGCAGUAAUUGUUUUGCAGCAGAAUUAGGAAUGAUCACUAUGAGAUCAGCCCCACAGGAUCUUGACACUCACUGUGCUUUGAAAGCCAGCAAAGAGGGAACAACUCUGGAAGAUCCUAGCCCUGGGAUUACGUAUUUCUCUGCAAAUGCCAUGUAGGAUAGGGUCCUUUGGGUCUGCCAUCACCUCCAGGUCAACUUCCAGCUAAGCUGAAUGGGUAAUAACACUUCUAGGUCUUCAAUUUUGCAGCUUUAAGCCUAAUGUUUUCAUUCACCUUUGAAUAGUUUCCCAUCUGCAAAUAUCAGGGGAAAGGCAGGGCAUGAUGACAACUAAAUGGCAAUUUCUGCCAAGAAUCUCCUCUCCUUCUCUUGGUGAUGUGAUUCAGCAGAAGCAAAGCAGUUAUUCCUCUGCAGCAGGCUUCAAAAGAGCAGGAAAGGUUGGAGCCAGGGCGCAGAGGAAUGGAGCUGGCUGUUGUUUGGGGCACCUAGGUGAGGAAGGGAGGUAGGAACGUGCUCCAGGGAUGUUCCCGGACUUGGACCAUCUGGGAGACAAAAUGACAAAGGAAUGUUUCCCAAAUAGCAUCACAAAACAACAAAAGUCAUCAAUCCAGCAGUCAGCAGCACCUCCCUGCUACACCGGGCACCUCUGCUUGCCCAGCCCCGUUUGCUCUGAUUGUUUCAUGUUUCCUUUUCCAGGCAGCAAAACUCUCCCAGUUGUGGCUUCUUCAAGGCAGGGAAGGAAAGUUUUUCUGCUCUUCAUAUUCAAAAAUCUGUAUAUGAACAAAGACGAGGACAAAUUCAUAUACAGAAAUAUCGUCUUGCAAUUAAUCAUAAAAAACAGCAUAAUGUAGUAAUGAUUACUUAGCAAGACGGAACACCCACUCUGUUCUAUCUUCUUUUUGUCGUGAGUUGGACAAUUUUCAACUGUUAAUAGGUAAAGCCUAGUUUUCAA